CAGAAAAUAGUUUAUUAAAAAUCUUAAUUUUGGAAAUUAAAGUAGGGAGUUUUCUCUUUUCUGA
rnacentral:tRNA from 1 species